UCAUCGGGACCCCCAACGUUAGGGAGAA
rnacentral:sRNA from 1 species